CUACGGGUGGCACCAGGCGCGUAACCUUUACAAUGCACGAAAGUGUGAUAAGGGGAUCCCAAGUGCUUAACAUUGUUAGGCUUUUGCCAAGUGUAAAUAGCUUGGCGAAUAAGGGGUGGGAAAGACUGGUGCCAGCCGCCGCGGUAACACCAGCGCCCCAAGUGGCAAUCGCGUUUAUUGGGCCUAAAGCGUUCGUAGCAGGUUCUAUAAAUCCUUUGUGAAAUCGGCAAGCUUAACUUGUCGGCGUGCAGAGGACACUGUAGGACUCGAGACUGGGAGAGGUUAGAAGUAUUCCUUGGGUACCGGUAAAAUGGGUUAAUCCAAGGAGGACUACCGAUGGCGAAGGCAUCUAACCAGAACGGAUCUGACUGUGAGGAACGAAAGCUAGGGGAGCAAAACGGAUUAGAUACCCUCGUAGUC
rnacentral:rRNA from 1 species